GACGACGCAGGCGGCGUGCUUAACACAUGCAAGUCGAACGCUGAAGCUCAGCUUUUGUUGGGUGGAUGAGUGGCGAACGGGUGAGUAACACGUGAGUAACCUGCCCCCUUCUUUGGGAUAACGCCCGGAAACGGGUGCUAAUACCAGAUAUUCACUUGCCUUCGCAUGGGGGUUGGUGGAAAGGGUUUUUUCUGGUGGGGGAUGGGCUCGCGGCCUAUCAGCUUGUUGGUGGGGUGAUGGCCUACCAAGGCUUUGACGGGUAGCCGGCCUGAGAGGGUGACCGGUCACAUUGGGACUGAGAUACGGCCCAGACUCCUACGGGAGGCAGCAGUGGGGAAUAUUGCACAAUGGGCGAAAGCCUGAUGCAGCGACGCCGCGUGAGGGAUGGAGGCCUUCGGGUUGUAAACCUCUUUCGCUCAUGGUCAAGCCGCAGCUUUGGGUUGUGGUGAGGGUAGUGGGUAAAGAAGCGCCGGCUAACUACGUGCCAGCAGCCGCGGUAAUACGUAGGGCGCGAGCGUUGUCCGGAAUUAUUGGGCGUAAAGGGCUUGUAGGCGGUUGGUCGCGUCUGCCGUGAAAUCCUCUGGCUUAACUGGGGGCGUGCGGUGGGUACGGGCUGACUUGAGUGCGGUAGGGGAGACUGGAACUCCUGGUGUAGCGGUGGAAUGCGCAGAUAUCAGGAAGAACACCGGUGGCGAAGGCGGGUCUCUGGGCCGUUACUGACGCUGAGGAGCGAAAGCGUGGGGAGCGAACAGG
rnacentral:rRNA from 1 species